rnacentral:misc_RNA from 1 species
AAGAGACGUUGCCCUUCGGGGUAUACCUCCCACCCUUUGUUUAUUAUACCUUUGUUGCUUUGGCGGGGCCCCGUCCUCGGGACCACCGGCUUUCUGCUGGUCAGUUGCCCGCCAGAGGACCUAAAACUCUGUUUGUUUAAACACUGUCUGAGUACUAUAUAAUAGUUUAA